GUUUGUCGCGUCUGCUGUGAAAAUCUGAGGCUCAACCUCGGACUUGCAGUGGGUACGGGCAGACUAGAGUGCAGUAGGGGAGAAGGGAAUUCCUGGUGUAGCGGUGGAAUGCGCAGAUAUCAGGAGGAACACCAAUGGCGAAGGCACUUCUCUGGGCUGUAACUGACGCUGAGGAGCGAAAGCGUGGGGAGCGAACAGGAUUAGAUACCCUGGUAGUCCACGCCGUAAACGUUGGGCGCUAGAUGUGGGUCACAUUCCACGUGAUCCGUGUCGCAGCUAACGCAUUAAGCGCCCCGCCUGGGGAGUACGGCCGCAAGGCUAAAACUCAAAGGAAUUGACGGGGGCCCGCACAAGCGGCGGAGCAUGCGGAUUAAUUCGAUGCAACGCGAAGAACCUUACCAAGGCUUGACAUAUACAGGAAAACUGCAGAAAUGUAGUCCCCGCAAGGUCUGUAUACAGGUGGUGCAUGGUUGUCGUCAGCUCGUGUCGUGAGAUGUUGGGUUAAGUCCCGCAACGAGCGCAACCCUCGUCCUAUGUUGCCAGCACGUUAUGGUGGGAACUCAUGGGAGACUGCCGGGGUCAACUCGGAGGAAGGUGGGGAUGACGUCAAAUCAUCAUGCCCCUUAUGUCUUGGGCUUCACGCAUGCUACAAUGGCCGGUACAAAGGGCUGCAAUACCGCAAGGUGGAGCGAAUCCCAAAAAGCCGGUCUCAGUUCGGAUUGAGGUCUGCAACUCGACCUCAUGAAGUCGGAGUCGCUAGUAAUCGCAGAUCAGCAACGCUGCGGUAAAUACGUUCCCGGGCCUUGUACACACCGCCCGUCAAGUCACGAAAGUCGGUAACACCCGAAGCCGGUGGCCUAACCGUAAGGAAGGAGCCGUCUAAGGUGGGAUUGGUGAUUGGGACUAAGUCGUAACAAGGUAACC
rnacentral:rRNA from 1 species